rnacentral:rRNA from 1 species
UACGUAGGGGGCAAGCGUUGUCCGGAAUCAUUGGGCGUAAAGCGCGUGUAGGCGGCUCGGUAAGUCCGCUCUGAAAGUCCAGGGCUCAACCCUGGGAUGCGGGUGGAUACUGCCGGGCUCGAGUCCGGAAGAGGCGAGUGGAAUUCCCGGUGUAGCGGUGAAAUGCGCAGAUAUCGGGAGGAACACCAAUGGCGAAGGCAGCUCGCUGGGACGUGACUGGACGCUGAGACGCGAAAGCGUGGGGAGCAAACAGG